rnacentral:rRNA from 1 species
UAGGGAAUCUUUCCACAAAUGGGCGCAAGCCUGAUGGAGCAACACCGCGUGAGUGAAGAAGGGUUUCGGCUCGUAAAGCUCUGUUGUUAAAGAAGAACACGUAUGAGAGUAACUGUUCAUACGUUGACGGUAUUUAACCAGAAAGUCACGGCUAACUACGUGCCAC